rnacentral:pre_miRNA from 1 species
CCAGGUGCGAUGAGUUGGAGGAUUGGGUCUCAGCAUUGGACGAGCGGUUUGUGGAGUGCCAGAUCUAACUCUUCCAGCUCAUCCCACUCUGG